rnacentral:rRNA from 1 species
GAUGAACGCUGGCGGCGUGCUUAACACAUGCAAGUCGAACGGAAAGGCCCAAGCUUACUUGGGUACUCGAGUGGCGAACGGGUGAGUAACACGUGGGUGAUCUGCCCUGCACUUCGGGAUAAGCCUGGGAAACUGGGUCUAAUACCGGAUAGGACCACUUCUUGGAUGUUGUGGUGGAAAGUUUUUUCGGUGUGGGAUGAGCUCGCGGCCUAUCAGCUUGUUGGUGGGGUAAUGGCCUACCAAGGCGUCGACGGGUAGCCGGCCUGAGAGGGUGUACGGCCACAUUGGGACUGAGAUACGGCCCAGACUCCUACGGGAGGCAGCAGUGGGGAAUAUUGCACAAUGGGCGCAAGCCUGAUGCAGCGACGCCGCGUGGGGGAUGACGGCCUUCGGGUUGGAAACUCCUUUCGCUAGGGACGAAGCGUUUUGUGACGGUACCUGGAGAAGAAGCACCGGCUAACUACGUG